CAGGAAGGUCUGAGGCCAACUAUUGCAUGUCUUUAAUAAGAACAGUAAGAGCUGUGGUAAUGUGAAAGAAACGAACAUUUCAAUACUUAUCUUGUGUCGAAAUAUGAUAUAAACUCCCGUGUGAGGCCACUAGUGUCGUGUAUCCCUAGGUUAUAAAGAUUAAAUUAGCUGGUAAACAAGAUUUGGCCUAU
rnacentral:RNase_P_RNA from 1 species